AAAACACAGCUUGUGGAGGAGACUGGUUUGGGCAUGGUGCUCCUCAGAUGAAGUUGUUUAUUUUGUCCUGAGUGAGGACAUGGUGCAGCGUUCAAUAUUGAAUUGUGACCAUUCUUUGGCCAUGAGAUAACCUUGCUCCAGUAGUGCUGAGUGCCCACAAGGAACAUCUCCAACGUAGUUUGAUGGAAGUGAAAGAAAAAAAAAGUCCAGCCUGGCACUUGAAGAGGACUAAAAUAGUCUGAAAAGUUCUGCGCUGUUCUUGUAGUGGCUAUGGAUAAAUAUCAAUGAAAACCUUGAGCUGGAUGACAUGCAUUCUGCAAAUGGCAAAAAGGAAUUAGAAAAAAGAAUCUGCGCUAGAAAGACUUUCAGUGCAAAGUGAAGAACAGCUCUAUCUGCACGUAUCAAUGUUCAACUCAGAAAGGGGAGGUGGAGAAGGGCUGCCAUGCUGUGAUGAUGCCUGGGCAGUUCCACUCCCCCGGAUGAGUCUCACCAGGCUGUGCCCAUGCUUGCUAAGCUGCAGAAGUGGGGUAACUCUUGCUAUUUGCCCAUCUGCCUUAGUUUGGUGCAGAGGACGUUAUCUUUUGCCUCUUUGCAGUUGUCUCAUCUGUACAAUUAUCCAGCAUCUUGGCAGAAAAUGUGAAAAUUUGUACAGUGUUCAAAGC
rnacentral:lncRNA from 1 species